rnacentral:lncRNA from 1 species
UCGGGUGUAAGUCCAUGUAUUGGCAUUCUGUUUCCUGUUUUUUUGUUAUUGUUAGGAGUCGGGUGUAAGUCCAUGUAUUGGCAUUCUGUUUCCUUUUGGGUGUUUCUUUUGACGUCUCAACAUCCCCUUUUGGUGUCUUAUUUCGGCAUGCAUUAUCCGAGCUACGAGUGCUCUGAUUCUCCUCUGGAUAGAGAAGAUACGUAGGCAUAGGACGCGAUGUCUUAGCGAGCAUGUCUUCUUUUCCCGAACUACGUUGACUCUGAUGUUUGCUUCUGACAAA